rnacentral:rRNA from 1 species
AGUGAACGCUGGCGGUAGGCCUAACACAUGCAAGUCGAACGGCAGCACAGUAAGAGCUUGCUCUUACGGGUGGCGAGUGGCGGACGGGUGAGGAAUACAUCGGAAUCUACUUUUUCGUGGGGGAUAACGUAGGGAAACUUACGCUAAUACCGCAUACGACCUACGGGUGAAAGCAGGGGAUCUUCGGACCUUGCGCGAUUGAAUGAGCCGAUGUCGGAUUAGCUAGUUGGCGGGGUAAAGGCCCACCAAGGCGACGAUCCGUAGCUGGUCUGAGAGGAUGAUCAGCCACACUGGAACUGAGACACGGUCCAGACUCCUACGGGAGGCAGCAGUGGGGAAUAUUGGACAAUGGGCGCAAGCCUGAUCCAGCCAUACCGCGUGGGUGAAGAAGGCCUUCGGGUUGUAAAGCCCUUUUGUUGGGAAAGAAAAGCAGCAUGUUAAUACCCCGCUGUUCUGACGGUACCCAAAGAGUAAGCACCGGCUAACUUCGUG